rnacentral:rRNA from 1 species
AUGACGCAGGAGUUUUGUGUGUCAACCCUCAAGUUGGACAAUCGGAGCGCUGAGGCUAAGGAUCUCCAUGGCCUGGUACUCGUCGCCAUCAACAUACUAAAGGGUCAGGUUGCUGUUGCCAACGGCAAUGUCAAACAAAUGCUGCACAACACCAAGAAUGGCACGGUUGCAAUGUUUAACCUCAGUUUCUGUGUGGUGGACUACGACCGCACGGUGAGCAUCCUCAAUAUAUGUGAGACCAUGAUAAAUGAGUACCACGGUGGCACGGGCGGUUCCAAUGAUGGAUCGCGGUCUUCUGCGCUGCUCGCCUGUUUGAGGAAACUUGAUGAACCUCUCAACGACAUUUGGCUAAGACUUCCUGAUAAUUCGGACGCGGAAAAGUUGCCCGAUGAUUACGAUGCCGUGGGCAAGCUGGUCAAACUUAACUUUUGCCUUGCUAGCACCAUAUAG